GAUGUAAUUAUUUUGUCACGUAAGUGACGUCCUUAUACUUGAUACACAAGCAAAUACGACACGAGCAAAAUACAAUAUUCGAGUUGAUGUUCGGUACGGAAUCGGAUGUGCAUAAAUUUGCAGCAAAUUAAACUGUGACGAACGUUUAAUAACAUCUGAAUUCGCGACUCGCGUUCAAGUUAUCAUGUUCGAGUUCCCUAACGUAUAGUGAAUAGGGAUAGGUACCUACUGCCAAGUGACCAGAUGGAACCGCGAAAUGACGUAAUUUAUAAUACUAACAACAAACCAUAUUUAUAUUACUAUAAUUCCAACGUACCGGCUUACUCGAAAACUCAACCAGCCAUCAGGUUACCGGAAAAAUCAUAUCAUACAACACAACGACCUAGACCAACAGCAACAAACAAACAAGUUAGAAAAAAUCCACGAAUCAAAACCGCAAACCGAAAAUCAACCCAAAUCCGUAGACAAUUCUUUCGACCAGGAGCUGGAAUCUUUCAAAGGCCACAACAACAGCAACAGCAACAACAACCAGUGGCUCGAAAUGCACUACAAAUGUCACUUCUGUUACUAUCCAUAUUGGCUUUCGGUACAUUUGCAACCACUUCCAUAAUGAUGGGUAGAAAUAAUCGACGAAACAAUCGCCGGGAACAAUCUACAUAUAGAAUAGUUCUCAAUAAAGCACCUAGAAUGGAGGAUAAACAAACCAAUAAUACAACUAGCCCAUCUUCAACACACUGGGAGUGGGCUUCUAUGUUUACCGAACGCAUUUUCGAAUUUAUUGCAGAUUUUGUCCAAGAUUGGUGAUCGAGAACCGAUGCAAAAUGGAAAGUAUUCGUAUGUUUCAUCGAGACGAGGAUGAUUCGAGUAUUCGUGUAAAUAUCCAAACUGUGUACAGUUAAUCUGGCUGGAAUCCGGCGAUACUAGAUUCUAUGGAUUGGUCACGAUUCCGGUGUCAUUCUUCCAUAACGUGUGACGUCUUCUUCUUCGAAACUAACAAUUAACAAAACAAGCAUAUCUAAUUCAGUUACUCGUGGUAUAAUUAACACUGAACUUAUUGGUGUACAUAUUCGAGAUUAAAGUAUAAAUGGCCAAUACACCAUCUCCAUCAUGAUCAACAGAAGAUACAGUAAUAAUAACGUCAGGUGUUCGACGUAUAGGUAUCUACGUUAGCUUUGUAUCGAAUCUAAACUCUAAUUAAAACAACAAACUCGUACGAUAAUUUGUUAUUUUGUUUAGAUUGGAUAAUAAUAUAAUUUCAUUAGCUGUUU